UACGUAGGGUGCAAGCGUUAAUCGGAAUUACUGGGCGUAAAGCGUGCGCAGGCGGUUUUGUAAGUCUGUUGUGAAAUCCCCCGGGCUCAACCUGGGAAUUGCGAUGGAGACUGCAAGGCUAGAAUCUGGCAGAGGGGGGUAGAAUUCCACGUGUAGCAGUGAAAUGCGUAGAGAUGUGGAGGAACACCGAUGGCGAAGGCAGCCCCCUGGGUCAAGAUUGACGCUCAUGCACGAAAGCGUGGGGAGCAAACAGG
rnacentral:rRNA from 1 species